UACGAAGGGUGCAAGCGUUACUCGGAAUUACUGGGCGUAAAGCGCACGUAGGUGGCGACGUAAGUCGGGUGUGAAAGCCCCGGGCUCAACCUGGGAAUUGCAUUCGAGACUGCAUUGCUGGAGUACGGAAGAGGAGGGCGGAAUUCCCGGUGUAGCGGUGAAAUGCGUAGAUAUCGUGAGGAACACCAGAGGCGAAGGCGGCUACCUGGACAAUUGCUGACGCUCAGGCACGAAAGCGUGGGGAGCAAAAGGG
rnacentral:rRNA from 1 species